rnacentral:lncRNA from 1 species
UAUUUUUUUAAUGACAUGUGUUGGUAAUUUAGAUCCACUACUUCUCAUUUGCAUAGUCACUAAGAGUCAGUUAGAACAACCAGGACUUACGUUCCAACUAGUGAUGGCCAGGCUUAACACCAAGUAAUGGCCGCAUGCAUUCCUGGUAACUUUGGGCUUCAUUGGCUGCAAAGGCCAGAUCGAAAUGGUGCGCAUUUGCGCUGAGAUGGCGUAGUAGCAAUGCAGAUAAGCCGAGGCAUCUCACGGUCACCUGUUUCCGGAAUAUAUCUUCACAGCACCGUUUCUGGUACUAGCGAACGGUGAGGAGCCAGAUCGCUGCUGCCGAUCCAGAUUUAGUUCUGCACAUGAGUGAGAUGGCAUUAGCUUAUGAUGAACCCGCGCCGUCCAUUCACAGGAUCCUCUGAAUUUUGGUACCUGACCGUGGAACCGGUCAAUGCAAUGAUACGAUCCAGAUAUUUUCC